rnacentral:lncRNA from 1 species
CAGUCCGGAAUGCGGUUCGAUAAAAUUGCUCCCCUUGUUUAUUUCGCUCUCCUGUCAAAUCAUGUAAUUUCGCUACCUCCAAUGGUAGACGCUACAACGAUGGGUGUCGUCAAGAAAGGUACGAUUAAAGGAAUCAGCUAGGAAUUAGACGAUCACCAUUGGUAUAGGUGAGUUGUUUAAUAGUUGUUGCUUUGUGAUAAAUGCAUGUUUUGGAUUAAUUGAUAAUCAGGAAUAGCUGGAAAGGAAAGAAACGUGUUGCUACGUGAACCCGGAAAGGCCGGGACGAAUUUAAAAAAAAAAUCUAGAGACGAUCGUUCUGAGUGUGCCACCUACACAUUUUUAAACGUGUACACAAGCACAAUAUUCCCUAUCUAUGUAAUGUGUUUUCAUAAUUAUGUGAUAUAGAGCAAAAAAAGGUAGCAGUUUUUUGUGUCUUGUUGUUAAGCAUUUCCAGGGGAGAUAAUGUUAUUUUUUCACGGUGUGUUUGAUAGGUUUGUUACAUUGUAACAUUAUUUAAUACACACUCAGAAAGUGGAUUAAAAUAGCCUCCCACACUAAAUUAACUGAAUUUUAAUUAUUAUAUUUACCGUAAUGCUAUUAUAUAAACUUCGGAGGUUCAUAUCACUUAUAUUCAACGUUUGUAUAUCGGAUUUUUUUUUACUAUUGAUGUUGAACGGUUCAUAGUAAAAAAAAAAUCCGAUAAAACCGUUGAAUGUAAAUGAUAUGAACCUCAGAAGUGUUAUAUAUUGUCCUUUAAUAUAAGACCGGAGGUUCAUAUCAUUUAACAUUCAACAUUUUUUAUCGAAUGUUUGUUAUUAACUAUCAAUGUUCAACGGUUCAACGGUUCAACAUUGGUAGUUAAAAAAAUCCGAUAAAAAUGAACGGUUCAACAUUGAUAGUAAAAAACAAUCCGAUAAACAUGUUGAAUCUUAAAGAUAUGAAACUCUGAAGCCUUACAUUAUAGGACUAUCGUUUAUUAGUUCUUUAUUCUAAAUUUUAUCCUAACUAAAUUUUUGUUUUUUUGUGGUGUAUAUUAAAAAAAGGGGAGGGGCUUUUAAAACACCAAAAAAAUUUAAAAAAGGGGAGGGGCUUUUAAAACACCAAAAUACCUUACAAAUUUCAGGAUUCGACACUAACGCAUCCUACAAUAUUUGUUUACAGAAUGAGAAUUGAAUUCCGAUCCGUUUGUACGGGGAACAUGUGGUUGCAACCCCCUCUUUAAUUGCCUGUUCGAUUUUUUUUUUUUUGCAGUGUCGAAAAGGGAGAUAGACAGCAGUUUGUUUUAUCAAGAAGUUAUGUACGUUCUGCUAUACAUUUGACAGUCAGUAAUUAUUCUGAAGUACACAUGUCGACCAGAGGCAUGGAACAGAGAGGAGAGGUUUUAAAGUACCAGAUGCUUAUCUGAGAUUCCAAUUUGAACUAAAGAAAGCAAUAUAUAAAGAUAUGUAGGAGAAAUAAUCUAUAUGAAUAAAGUUAUGUCACAAAAGGAACUUGUUUUUUUUUAUAUACAGAAUUUGUCAAACGUCUCCAUAACAGAAGAGAUGUGAAUGCAUCCUUCAUAGUCUUGUAAUACUAAUGGUAAUAAUUUAUAUAAUUUCUGAGAUGAUAUAGCAGUGCUAUUGGUUUCCCCUUUCUCCUUCUUCAAAGAACUUGAUCAUCUGAACUCUUUCUUUUUUUUUCAAAA